CUGUUAAUCUGCAAGGAUACUAAGUAAAAAAUACAAGUCCUGUUUCUGUGGACAGAGUACAAGUUGCCAUUGUGAAAUGGGAACACCGCCCUCAAAACACUCCUGUCCCUUUGAAGUGCUAUGUCUCAGCUUCCGGAACCUAGCCUAGAUGACUCCACAGAAGCUGUUUAAUUUUGUGAAAGUAUCCCAUUUCCAAGAUGAGCACCUUUGUAUCUCACGUGCCCAAACUACAGCUCUCCAGCACCUCAGAAGGAAGAUUGCUGUUUUUCCAGGAGUCUGGCAUUGUAUGAGAUGCCGCCAGAACCCUCAGAAGUCCACGAGUGAAACACUGAAAAACAUUGGUUCUCACUGACGACAAGGUGGAUGGCAGCCGUCCUGGGACCUUCAUCGUCCUUGUCCAUGUGCAGCCCCUUGAUCAAUUUCUUCCAAGCUCGACUCAUGCAGCCACUAACUUCUUCACCACCAAGAUACUGAUGAACAAAUAUCCCUACCUCCCAGCCCCACCUUCCAACACAGCUCCUCCUUCUGACAAUGAUCCCAGUCAGCUGGAAGCAGCCACUUGAGAAAACUCACAAUCCCAUCCUUAUGCCGGGAAUGUGAGGCCUCUACCCACCAGACCUAACCACGCCAUCCUUCAUAUCAGCAACCUACUUAGCCCUAGCCACAGCACCCAGUCCAUCUUCCUGAAACCAUCUUCCUACCUCCAUCUCAAUAAAAGCCCGCU